rnacentral:tRNA from 1 species
ACGCGCGUAGCUCAGUUAGCAGAGCGUUUGCUUGGUAAGCAAAAGGUCACUGGUGCAAAUCCAGUCGCGCGGU